rnacentral:rRNA from 1 species
CCUACGGGGGGCAGCAGUGAGGAAUAUUGGUCAAUGGGCGGGAGCCUGAACCAGCCAAGUCGCGUGAGGGAAGACGGUCCUAUGGAUUGUAAACCUCUUUAGGCGGGGAGCAAUGCCGGGCACGCGUGCCCGGAGGGAGAGUACCCGCAGAAUAAGCAUCGGCUAACUCCGUGCCAGCAGCCGCGGUAAUACGGAGGAUGCGAGCGUUCUGCGGAUGUAGUGGUUUUAAAGGGUGCGUAGGCGGAUUCUUUAGGCAGAGGUAAAAUGUCCGGGCUCAACCCGGGCCGGCUGUUGAAACUGUGGAUCUUGAGUGGGCGAGAAGUAUGCGGAAUGCGUGGUGUAGCGGUGAAAUGCAUAGAUAUCACGCAGAACUCCGAUUGCGAAGGCAGCAUACCGGCGCCCGACUGACGCUGAGGCACGAAAGCGUGGGGAUCGAACAGGAUUAGAUACCGGGUAGUC